GUGCUCUCGUUGCAGCACAUAUACUAAAAUUGGAAUGAUAUAGAGGAAAUUAGCUAGGCCCUGCACAAGGAUGAAAUGCAAAUUCAUGAAGUGUUCCAUAUUUUG